GGGAGUUUCAGGUACGCUCUCUGUAAUGUCAUCAAUCAUAUCAGAGAACCUUUUUUCUGCAUCGACCUCGACAAAAAAUGAUGUUGCCGUGCUACGACAAGUAUGUCACGGCAGAUUUCCGUCAAGCUGUAGCCGAGGCAGGGCAUCCUGAUUGGAAGUUGCCAGAUGAUGCAGGUGAGUACAAUGACACCCCCGAGAAGACAAAGUUCUUUGCAGAGAACGGGACGUACCUCACAGAGAAGGGGAAGUUCUUCCUGACUUGGUACUCCAACAAGUUGCUGAAGCACGCAGACCAGAUCCUUGAUCGGGCCAACCAGGCUUUCCUCGGAUGCAAACUGAAGCUUGCCAUCAAAGUAUGUGUACAUGACUGAAGAUCUCGCCGUUGUUUCGAGUGAUACCUGAUGCUGUACGAAUCCAUAUCAGGUGUCUGGUGUUCACUGGUGGUACAAAGACGAUAGCCAUGCAGCAGAGCUCACCGCGGGCUACUACAACUUGAAGGUGCGAGAUGGCUACAGAACCAUUGCACGGCAGCUGACGAGGCACGAUGCCGUUCUGAACUUUACCUGCGUCGAGAUGAGAGACUCCGAGCAACCCGAAGAAGCCAAG
rnacentral:lncRNA from 1 species